rnacentral:rRNA from 1 species
UACGGAAGGUGCAAGCGUUGUCCGGAUUGACUGGGUGUAAAGGGCGUGUAGGCGGAGGAGUAUGUCGGGAGUGAAAUCGUGCGGCUUAACCGUAUCAAUUGCUUCCGAAACUAUUCCCCUUGAGUGCAAGAGAGGCAGAUAGAAUUCCUGGUGUAGCGGUGGAAUGCGUAGAGAUCAGGAAGAAUACCGGAUGCGAAGGCGGUCUGCUGGCUUGUAACUGACGCUGAGGCGCGAAAGUGCGGGGAGCAAACAGG